rnacentral:rRNA from 1 species
UGGGGAAUAUUGCAUAAUGGGCGCAAGCCUGAUGCAGCAACGCCGCGUGAACGAUGAAGGUCUUCGGAUCGUAAAGUUCUGUUGCAGGGGAAGAUAAUGACGGUACCCUGUGAGGAAGCCCCGGCUAACUACGUGCCAGCAGCCGCGGUAAUACGUAGGGGGCUAGCGUUAUCCGGAUUUACUGGGCGUAAAGGGUGCGUAGGUGGUCCUUCAAGUCGGUGGUUAAAGGCUACGGCUCAACCGUAGUAAGCCGCCGAAACUGGAGGACUUGAGUGCAGGAGAGGAAAGUGGAAUUCCCAGUGUAGCGGUGAAAUGCGUAGAUAUUGGGAGGAACACCAGUAGCGAAGGCGGCUUUCUGGACUGCAACUGACACUGAGGCACGAAAGCGUGGGUAGCAAACAGG